GAUGCGAUCCAGCAGAAUGAGGGGGUGCAGAAAAGGUUUUUGUUUUGGUUUGCUUGUUUUUAUAUUUUUUUUGUUGGUCCAGUGGCCCAUGCAGGAAAUAAAGGGGACUGCGAAGAUGAAAAAUGGGGGUACGAAUUAAAAGGGAGGUUUGGUCCUUAUUAUGAUUUUUUUUUUUAAAAAAGAAACGACCCAAGACCUAGGCUUAGGGUUUUGCCUACAAUCAGAAACAGGGGUCUGCCCCCUUCAUCCCAUUUGUGCUCAAUAUCUAAGAGACCAGAGUCUCUUCUUCUCUGAAAAGAAACGAAACACCAAGGCACUUAACCCCCGGCAACUGUGACGUCUUCGCCUCCCACCGAAAGCCACUGCGCCGCCCCAACAGCCUUGGCAUCGCCGGCGACCCCAAGCGCCACCAGAGCCGCCGCUGGCAGCGGCGCCAGAUCUUCUCUUUUGCUCCCCUUUCGUGUGCGAGAAGAGAAACCCUCUCGGUUCGAAAAUGGCGCCGGCCGCCGUGAGCCACGAGCAGGGCCGCCAUUGGUUGCAGCGUCAAAGUCCUCCUCUCAUUCUGAUUCUGCGGGAGCUCUCUCCCUCCUUGAACGCUGCCUGCAUCCGAUAGCCACCGCGUCGCCAAUCGUCGGAGAUGCCCCCUCACCGGUGCCACCAGUGCCGCUCUCUUCCCUCUCCGUUAGAGUUUUCCUUUCUUUUCCCUCAAACGCUAGGCGUGUGAGCGCGCCCAAUUCACCGAUAAGGGAAACCCAAAUUGUAACUCUUUAAAGCAAUGAAGGGAACAGGUUUGGAAAAAAACAGAAAAAAACAAAUUUCUCAUGUCCCUCUGAAGGGAGUAUCGAACUGGGUUGUCUUCAUGACUGAAGAAGGGUUUAUGGUUUGCUCAGUGUGUGCCCAUUGCUUAGGGAGUCACCUCCUUUGUUAGUAGGAAACAAGGAUUCCAUCAGCUGACUUAGAUUGUGGUUGUCGUAGUUGAUUCUGGGUGUUUGGGUCACUUCUUCUUUCUUGCAGAAAAAUGGCAUUGGGAUCUCGGUAAUAAAAGUCCAGGUUGAUGUCGACAACAGGGUUGUGUGUGAGGGAUUGCUGGUUUGGUCAGUUUGGUAUAUUUAGCACUUUCUGCAUCUGUUUGCUAUCUUUAGAAGGCAUUGAGUCUUGAUGCUGAGGGGUAGCACAUGCCUAUGUUCUAUUAUCAGCUUAAUGAAUUUUGUUAUAUUUUUUUUAUGAAACUGACUAACAAAGGAUAUCUCAAAGUGAACGAACACAACCAUAUACACGCAUUAUUUCAUUCAUAUUCCAGACAUGUAACAGGGACAUAUAACAGGAGCAUAUACCAGAGCAGCAAGCAUCCACAUACGACCAAGAGCUUGAAGAAGACAACUUACCUCUUCUCUGGCCGUGCCGUGUUCCUUCUUCCCAAGUGGUGAUGACCAAUGAUAGCAAUGAUGAAACGUUGAGAUGAAUGAUGGUUUUCAAAGGUCUCUCGUGGUGAUAGUCGAUGAUGGGGUGAGUCUCCAAAAUGUUUUCUGAUCGUGUCGUAUUGGGUCUCAAUAACGGUGCUCUUUUGUUGUGAUGGUGUUCGCUCUUUUGUUGUGAUGUUCUGAUAACCCCCCGAGUUACUAUGAUCUCGUGCUCUUUUUGUUCUCUUCUUCUGUUGCAAUGGUCAAAAUGAAUAAAUUUUUUUUUCAUCAUCAGUGCUUUUUCUUCUGCAGGUUAAGGUCCUUUUCCACAUUUCAUGCGUAUCUCUCAAGAUCUCGUUUUUGUCUUUUUUCUUUUUUCAUGUUUUACUCGUAUAAGUUGAACAAAAACCUUUAAAAUCUUCACUCUUUCCAUGUAUGUAUGCUACUCUGCUGCUUAAGAAUUUUUAGCAAAAAUACAGAGACCUUUUUCGCACUGCCCCCGUAUGAGCACACUCUAAGCAUUUCCUUUGUAUCGCCUGAACACUCCAACAGAUGGGAACAAGAACAGAGUUGACCUUGAAAUUUUAUUUUUUCCUUUCAUUUUUUUUUUACUUUUUUCAUUUUUUCAUUUUUUUUUUCAUUUUCUUUUGUAAAUAAUUAUAUAAAAAGAAUCCCUUGAACUUAAAAAAUAUAAAAGGAAACAACAAAAUAAAAUAUGAAAGUAUGAUACAUAAAAGUAAACCGAAAAAAGAGAGAAAAUAAAAAUAAAAAUAAGACAAAAAUGAAAUAGCAUAAAACGAAAAAUGGAAUGUAAUAAAAUAAAUUAAAAUAAAAUGAAAUAAGAUAAAAUAAAAUAAGAUAAGAUAAAAUAAAAUAAAAGAAAAGAAAGUAAAAUGAAAUAAAAUAAAAAAAUAAAAUAAAAUAAAACAAAAUCUAAUAAAAUAUAAAAUUGAGAAAAAAUAAAAAUAAAUAAAUAAAUAAAUAAAAACGAAACCAACUAGAAAACAGAGGAUAAAAUUAAAAUAAAAGAAAACAAAAAAAAAUCACCCCUUUUUUUUAGAGUUUAUAUGAAAAUUAUCUUUGUUCCCUUUUUUUAUUUUAUUACUU
rnacentral:lncRNA from 1 species